rnacentral:misc_RNA from 1 species
UCCAAUAAGUAGGUUGAUUCAAAUCACCAAAUUUUGGAACAGGUUCAAGGGAUUUAAUCAAGAUUUUAGUACUAAACUUGAUUCUUUGAGUAACCCAACAAGCAUAUAAGCCAUUACCAAUUGCAAAAGCAAUAAGACAAACUCCAACACCAUCAGUGAGAGCCUUUUGGAAGCAAAUUAAGAGAAUUCCAGCUGAAAGUGUCAUGAAGAAAGAGCUCCACAAUAUGAAAUGAAUCAUGAAUCUAGGCCAUACUCUAAAUGCUUUUUGCCAUGCCAAAGCAAGAGUAAUGCUCAAUAGAGAUGCUACUUCAACUUGAGGAAGGAAAUACUUCAAUAUUCUUAUCUCUUUUCUUUUAACAGUAUCUGAUGCUGCUAUAAGUCCUUGAAUUCCCUUGAAUAUAAGAAAAC